CCAGUCUUGGCUUUGCUCUGGGUGUGAGGGGUUUGUGCUGGUUUCCAGUUGGUUGCUGAAGCAACUAUCACUACCGACAGGGAAAGUUGCAGCUGGUGUUGAUGAACCUUAAUGAAGUUUAAAGCAGGAGUCAAAGUCUGCUGAUGACCAUGGUUGCUUUCUUUGUCUUUGCUUCAAGUUUAUGCUGAAUUACCCAUUAGACAGUUAUGAAGAAGGAAAAAGAGCAGUGCUUCUGUUGGGUGACAUGAAAUGCAUCUCAGGUUACCUGAUGAAUGUGUCGUACCCCUCCUAAAUAUCAAGUCAUGAACCUGAAAAUAAAUUCAAAAGCCAUACCAAUUUUUGAGUCCUAGAGCCUUGCUUCUGAGAGUGGAGCCUAUAAACCUAGACCUCUGGUAAUGAUUUGGGGAGUAGUUCUCAGGUUUAUUGAGCUGGUGUAUUAGAUUUCCUGCUGCAUGAGCAAGAAGAUUAUGGUGGCUUACGUCUAAGUGUACUUUUGGGAGGCAUUUUGUAUUUUCCCUAUAAAUAGUCUUUCUAAAACACAAUUGUGGAACUAUUAAUGUUUAUAUCGCAUUAUACAUCUCUCUAAGUUUACUGUGCUGAGUAUACAGUGUGGUAGCAAGAGGAAAUCUUUUUGUCUAAGAAACAUUUUCAGAAUUGUCAUUGUUAAAAGGCUACUAAAAGGCAGGUUUGUUAUAUUUAUCUUUUUAUCUGUAAGGUGUUUUUGGCUUAUUACACCGAGUCAUUCCUGUUUUCAACAAUAGUAAAAUUACAUCUCUUAAGGAGUUAAGCUCUUCAAUAGAACUUACAAAUGUUAAACUUCCAGCAGAAGUGUGGGCAUCCUGGCUAUUCCUUUUGUGUCGGAAAAACAUCAAACGAGUCCAUUGCAAUUAUAAGCUCUUCACAGAUAAACCUUGGACUUGGGACUGAGAGCGUGUGCAUAGUAAAACUUGUAUUUUACACUGUAUAAACUUUUUCUUAAUAAAUGCAUUCUUUUUCUUAUGUAAUUUAAAGAAAAAAGCAAUGGAAACAUCCUUCAUCCUAAGAUAAAUUGAAAAUAUAUGUAGGAAGGAAGGAAGCAGAGGAAGUUCAUAUGUGUAUUAUAUUACUGAUGUAUAUUCUGUUUUGAGAAUAAUUUAAUGAGCAAUUUCUUCACGAUUAAUAAGAAGAUGCCACAGGCCUAACUCUGCAAGGUCCCUUGGAACCAUUUAUUCAUCUGUAUGUGAACAGCCAGUUUCAAUAUUUUUAAAAACAGAACAUGAGCGAAACAAACGGUUAGUGUCCCUCUGUCCAGUAAAAUGAAAGAUUAUCAUCUCAAGCAGUGGCUGUCAGGUGGACCAGGUACAGCUCUGCAUCCUCCUUAGGUUCAGAUGCAGGGUGACGUGCGGGUAAUCUGCAAUUUGCUGGGGGCAUCGUUAGCUGCUUUGCCUCCGGGGUAGGAUUUGAAGCAGGCCUGGAGCAGCUGUGUGCCAGGUGGGUUGGGGAGGGAUGCUCGAUGCCCCGCCAUCACCCACUGGAGUUGGUGCCAAAGCCCCAGUGACACGGAGGAGGCAUUAGGUCACAUGAGUUACAUUAAGUGGCAAGUGAUAAAUUCAAGAUGACAAUUCAAAACAGCGGUGUUUCUCCCAGUAAUUAAUUCCAGUGGUGCCUGAGGCGGUGCUUGGUUGCUACAACCAGUGUGGCCAAAGCUGAGCAGCUAAUGAGAAAACAUUACAGCAAGGAUUAGGGGCCAGUGCAUUCUGGCAGGAUGAGGUCACUAUGAUUAGAAAGUAUUAAUGCAGGUUUACUGAGAUAAACUAUGACAAAGAAACUUUGUAUUAUUUGUGAGUGGUUAAAAUGAAG